GCUCGGCUGGCGUGCCUAAUACAUGCAAGUCGAGCGGAAGUUGGAGAGCUUGCUCUUCAACUUUAGCGGCGGACGGGUGAGUAACACGUGGGCAACCUGCCCUGCAGAUCGGGAUAACUCCGGGAAACCGGUGCUAAUACCGAAUAGUUUUCGCCACCUCCUGGUGGCGUACGGAAAGACGGUUUCGGCUGUCACUGCAGGAUGGGCCCGCGGCGCAUUAGCUAGUUGGUGGGGUAACGGCCCACCAAGGCAACGAUGCGUAGCCGACCUGAGAGGGUGAUCGGCCACACUGGGACUGAGACACGGCCCAGACUCCUACGGGAGGCA
rnacentral:rRNA from 1 species